ACCAGCAGAGGUGACCCACUGUUGCUGUCACCACUGCUGAAACGCACCA
rnacentral:miRNA from 7 species